GGGCGAGGCGGGGGGUGGGCAACCGCCGGAGACGACCCCGGGCUCCUGCCCCGCAGCGGGGCACCCGCGGCCUCGGGCUAGUGGGGUGUUGGGGAGCCCGCCCCUGCCGGGUCUGGACUGACCCGAGGGUCGCGACCGCGCGGGCACCCCUGCCGACUGCCUCGGUAGCAGGUGCGGGGGGGCCGGGGCCGCCCCCCGAGCGCGGGGGCCGGGGCCCCGGCCGGGGUCUGCCGGGAAGAUGGCGACCCCGGGCAUGAGCUGGCAGCAGCACUAUUACGGCGGCUCGGCGGCCGGGGCGGCCAAAUUCGCGCCCUCGGCGCCGCAGGCGGGGCAGUGCCUGGACUACAGUCCCGACCUACACAUGAAGAUGAGCAAGAAAAUCGCGCAGCUGACCAAGGUAAUAUAUGCUCUGAACACCAAAAAUGAUGAGCAUGAAUCUGCAAUCCAAGCCCUCAAUGAUGCUCACGAAGAAGAAAUACAACAAAUUCUUGCAGAAACAAGGGAAAAAAUAUUGCAGUAUAAGAGCACAGUAAUAGAGGAGUCAGACCUUAGGAGAAAGAUCCAAGUUUUAGAAGCAUCAUUAGAAGAGCAUGUAAAAAUGAAAGAGCAGGCUUUAACAGAAUUUGAAGCUUACAAGCACCGUGUUGAGGACAUGCAACUUUGUGCUGAAGCCCAGCAUGUUCAGCGGAUUGUAACUAUGUCUAGAGAGGUUGAAGAGAUUAGGAGGAAAUUUGAGGAGAGAUUAAGGAGUUUUGGACAACUACAAGUACAGUUUGAAAAAGACAAAAGGCUAGCAUUGGAAGAUUUGCGAACUGCUCACAAAAGGGAAAUCCAAGAGCUAUUGAGGUCACAGCAGGAUCACAGCACCUCUGUGAAUAAAGGGCUAGAGAAGGCAGAGGAACUGCACAGAAUGGAGGUGGAGGGCUUAAACAAAACCCUUGAGGAGCUGAGGCUUGAACAGAAAAAGCUAAUUGAGGAUUAUGAAGGCAAGUUGAAAAAAGCGCAGUCCUUUUAUGAACAUGAACUUGAUACUUUGAAAAGAUCUCAGCUUUUUACAGCAGAAAACCUGCAGGCUAGCAAAGAAAAGGAAGCUGAUCUUAGAAAGGAAUUUCAGGGACAAGAAGCAAUUUUACGAAAAACCAUAGGAAAAUUAAAGACAGAAUUACAGAUGGUCCAGGAUGAAGCUGGAAGUCUUCGUGGCAAAUGCGAAAAACUUCAGACAGCACUUGUUACAGCAGAAAAUAGUGUUCAGGUUCUUCAAAAACAACUUAAUGAUGCCAAGGAAGGAGAGAUGGCCUUAGUAAGCCAGCACAAGGAAGUGGAGAGUGAGCUAGCAGCUGCCAGAGAACGGUUACAACAGCAAGCAUCUGAUCUUGUCCUCAAAGCUAGUCAUAUUGGAAUGCUUCAAGCAACUCAGAUGACACAGGAGGUCACAAUUAAAGAUCUAGAAUCAGAAAGAUUAAGGGUCCAUGAGAAAUUAUCUCAGCUUGAAGAAGAAAGAACUUUAUUGCAAAGCAAAACUCAGAGUCUGAGUGAAGAGCAGACACACCAGAUUUUGGAAUUGGAGAAGGUGCAGUCUGGUUUUUCUUACCACCACUCCACAGGAUCUGCAUUUGCCUCAGCCUCCAGUGAUAUCCUAGUUGCUGGACUUGAUGGAUCUUAUCUUACUGUGAAAGUAAAUGAAGCAAAGAAAACUCAGCAAGAAUAUUAUGAGACGGAGCUUAAAAAUCUGCAAAAUAAAUUAGAAGGGGAUGUGGCUCAAUUAAAUGAAGCCCAUUCUAAGACUUUGGAAGAAUUAGCUUGGAAGCACCAUAUGGCAAUUGAAGCUGUCCACAGUAAUGCGGUUAGGGAUAAGAAAAAGCUUCAGAUGGAAUUGGAGGAGCAAUAUGAAAAAGAGAAACUAGCCUUAGAAGAGGAUAAAAACCAUCUUCAUCAAGAACUAGAAAACCUGAAGGAAGAACUGGAAGGCAAGCUGAGUAUAGCCAAUCAAGAGAUUGGUCGUCUCCAAGAUCUGGUAAAGAAAAGUGAACAAGGUCUUGUUUCUGCUGAAGAACAUAUUGCUAGUCUUCAGGACUCUCAGGAAAGACUUCAGAAUGAGCUUGACUUGACUAAAGGCAAGCUGAAGGACACCAAGGAUGCUCUAUUAAAUGUUGAGGAUGAACUAGAGCAGGAAAGGCAACAGCAUCAAGAAACCCUGGCUUCCAUGAAAGAAGAAGAGAAGCUCAGAGUGAACAAAAUGGCCCAGGACUUACAAAUAAAAUGGACUGAAAAUCUUAGGCAAGAAUGUUCUAAACUUCGUGAAGAGCUAAGGCUUCAACAUGAAGAGGACAAGAAGGCGGCAAUGUCUCAGCUUUUUCAGUUAAAAGAGAGAGAAAAAAAUGUGGCCCGAGAGUCAUGGCAAAAGAAAGUAGAAGAUCUUCUAAACCAGAUUUCCCUGCUGAAGCAGAAUCUGGACCUACAGCUUUCCCAGUCUCAGACUUCCUUGCAGCAGUUGCAAGCUCAGUUUACACAAGAACGACAACGACUUACACAAGAGCUUGAAAAAUUAGAGGAACAGCAUCAGCAGAGACAUAAAUCUUUAAAAGAAGCACAUGUUCUUGCAUUUCAGACUAUGGAAGAAGAGAAGGAAAAGGAACAGAGAGCACUUGAAAAUCAUUUACAACAGAAACACUCUGCAGAGCUUCAGUCAUUAAAAGAUGCACACAGAGAAUCCAUGGAGGGCUUUCGGGUAGAAAUGGAGCAGGAGCUUCAGACUCUUCGGUUUGAAUUAGAAGAUGAAGGAAAAGCUAUGCUUGCUUCCUUACGUUCAGAACUGAACCAUCAACAUGCAGCUGCAAUUGAUUUGUUACGUCAUAGUCAUCACCAAGAAUUGACAGCUGCUAAGAUGGAAUUAGAGAGAAGCAUAGAUAUCAGCAGAAGACAGAGUCAGGAGCACAUGUGUAGAAUAACAGAUCUACAGGAGGAAUUAAGGCACAGAGAGCAUCACAUCUCUGACUUGGAUAAGGAGGUACAGCAUCUUCAUGAAAAUAUAAGUGCCCUAACCAAAGAGUUGGAAUUUAAGGGGAAAGAAAUUCUCAGAAUACGAAGUGAUUCUAACCAGCAGAUAAGGUUGCAUGAACAAGAUUUAAACAAGAGACUUGAAAAAGAACUGGAUGAAUUGACAGCAGACCACCUCAGACAGAAAAAUCUCAUGCGGGCAGAUUUUAAUAAGACUAACGAGCUACUCAAGGAAAUAAAUGCAGCCUUGCAAGUGUCAUUGGAAGAAAUGGAAGAAAAAUAUCUAAUGAGAGAAUCAAAACCAGAAGAUGUGCAGAUGAUUACAGAAUUAAAAGUUAUGCUUACAGAAAGAGAUCAGGUCAUAAAGAAACUAAUUGAGGAUAAUAAAUUUUAUCAGCUGGAAUUAGUCAAUCGAGAAACUAACUUCAAUAAAGUGUUUAACUCAAGUCCUACGGUUGGUGUUAUUAAUCCAUUGGCUAAGCAAAAGAAGAAGAAUGAUAAAUCAACAACAAGCAGGUUUGUGAGUGUUCCCAAUCUAAGUGCUCUGGAAUCCGGUGGAGUGGGCAAUGGACAUCCUAACCGCCUGGAUCCCAUUCCUAAUUCUCCAGUCCACGACACUGAGUUCAGCAGCAACAAAGCACUUCUACAGCCAGUGCCACCCAAACAGUCCAAGACAUUUUUGAGGUGAGCCCCGUCUCACCAGUGGUGUUUUUUUUUCUUUUAUUUUUUAACUUGAGAAAUUUACAUUUUUACAUUUCAAAAUUCACUUCCUUAAGAACAUAGAAAAAAAUAUUAUAGUGAAAUAUUUUUAAAAGACAUUUAUCACCUUGUAGAAAGCUCCUUUUUCUGACUGUUAAAAAGAUUUUUUUUCUGAUUUCUCUGUCAGUUUUCUAAAUGCUUGAAGAGGUGCUACUAAUAAGCUAACAAUUUUAAUAUUGACAGUUGUUUCACUUUUAUUAUUGUCACCAAUCUUUUAUUAAUAAUAUAUUCCUACUGGGCCAGGUGUGUGGUCCAAGUUGUAGAGCACAUGCCUUGCAUUUUCAAGGCCUUGGGUUUGAUUCCCAGCCAUCCAUGAUGCCUUCCAAACACAGGCAUAGCCCUACUUACCCCUAGGCACCCCAGAACUGACUCCAUGACUAACAAUAACAGUGAAAUAUUAGUAAUAAUUAUUACAGAGCUUUAAAAUAUUUUAAAUUAAACAUUUUUGUUGUCCUUAUUUUGCCUUGUUUGCCAGUAUUUUAUAUAAUAUGGUGUAGUAAUACACACAAUGCAAAAAAAUGAAAAAAAUUAACUUUGGGAACCUAAUGAUAAACAUAAAAAUAUCUUAGAAAAAAAAUUUCAAUUGAUAAUCCAGUAUUGUUACCUGGUAGUUAUUAGUUGAUAUAAUCAGAAAAAAUUUGAGUGAAAUUCACUCAUACUCAUUAAAAAUUCAGAAAGUAGUGUCAUUUAAUGCUUAUUACUGAUUUUAUGCUAUUUUAAAUUUCUUUUUACCCUUUUUUGUUUGAGGGGCUUUGGUUUUGGUUUUGGGCCACACUCUGUGGUGCUCAGGCCUCCUGGCUCUGUGCUCAGAAAUCAUUCCUAGCCUUGCUCUGGGAGUCAUAUACCCUGCUGGGGAUUGAGCCCAGUUCAGCUGCAUGUAAGGCCAGUGCAUUGCCCUAGUACUUUGUCUCUGGCCUUCUUCACUUAUUCUUAACUAAAUCAUAGCAGUAUCAUCAGUAAUAGUGUUAUAAGUUGGAUUAUUUUUGCACUCUUAAGUGGUUGAUGACACAAUGACUAUUUUAAAUAGAACAAAAAAAAAGCAAGAAUAAAAAAUAGUCAGAUAUACCUUUGAAUGUGUCUCCUGCUAAAUAUUUUAUGUUGCUUAUUUUCCCUUGUGCAUGAGUAUGUUCAGGUAUCAAUAAGAUGCAUGUGCAUGAAUCAGUCAAGAACCAUGACUACUGGAAUUUCCAUUACAAAUUGUUGCGUGCCUUGUAAUUUCCCCCAGAGACGGUAGGGAUUCUUUUGUUUUAUCAACUAGUAUAAGAAUCUUUAUAGACUUAAAUAUAAGCCAUUUAAUUUUGAAGAUGGAGAAGAUGCUGGCUUUUAAAUGUAUUUCCUUUUCACCUAGAAUAUUUGCUAAUAAAAUUACAAAGUGAAAGUUUAAUAUAAAAUGCUUAGAGUAAAAAUACUUUUAAAAAAUGUUUAGUUAUGUUUAACAACACAUCUGUAAGAAAUAAAUGCUGGCAUCAGAUUCUGAAAUUUUAAUUAAAAGAAAGGUACCAAAAGAGAGGAAUGUUAUCUUGGUUUCUGUUAUUUCCCUCAGUUUCUCCUUCCAAAGGUGACACUGUUUUUCUUCACUGUUGCAGUCCUCCUCAGAGUGAAGCUUCCCCGGUGGCUUCUCCAGAUCCCCAGCGCCAGGAGUGGUUUGCCCGGUACUUCACAUUCUGAAAGAAUUGUGUUGGCACAGCUCUGUGUGGACGGUUACAAGAGCAUGACCUUAUACAGACCAUUAUGUGAUAGGUUUCCCUAUGUCAAACACUGUGAAUGAGAAAGUAUUUGUGUCUCCAGUUUGAAAAUGCACUGUAUUCAUGUGAUGUUUAUUGGUACUAUAUUAUGUGUGUAAUUAUAACAGUUAUUUUUAUUUGAAAUGGAAGAAUCUUUAACCUUUGUAAUUACUGCAUAAUAAAUUUUGUUAAAACAAUAAUACUUUUCUAAGAUUUUAGUUCAUCUUGGCAGGCUACAAUAUUAUAUUCUGUGGCCUGAAUGGUGCAUCCAUUUCUAAGAGUGCCAAAGUAAUUGAUUCAGUAAUGUAGAAUUUAUUUAGGGGGAAGGGGCCAUACCAGCGGUGCUCAGGGUCCUCUCCUGGGUCCUACCCAGGGGUCGCUCCUGGUGAUGCUCAGGGGACCAUAAAGAGCCAGGGAUUGAACCUGGGCCUCUUGCAUGCAAAGCAAGUGCUCCUCCCAUUGAGCUAUCUCUCCAGCCUAGUAAUGUAGAAUUUAGAGAAAUCUGGGUGAACAAACAAAUGCAAAUAUAUGAUCUAUAAGGCAUUAUAAUAAUGUUAAAGACCAACUUUUCUAUUAUUGUUUGUUUUGGGGCCACACCAGGCGAUGCUCAAUGCUCGGGGAUUGCUCCUAGCUCUGCAUUCAGGAAUCAUUCCUGGCAGUGCUUGGGGGAUGAAAUGGGAUGCCAGGGAUAGAACCCGGAUGGGUCACGUGCAAGGCAAGAACCCUACUCACUGUACUAUCUCUCUGGCCCAAGACCAACUUUUUAAUGGUUUGUGUAAGGCCCUGUGCUUAAAAAGCAUAGUUGAAAAGGUAGUUUGUGUAAGGUACUAUGCUAAAAGGGUAGUUACUUAAUUCUCACAAAAAUUUCAAGGAAUAAAUCAUUACAUGUUAGAAGUACAGUUGAAACACAAAAGAAAAGGAAGCUUUAUUUUAGAUACAUUGAAGUGAAAUUUUCUCUGGAAUAACAGGCAAAUAAACAUAAGGAUCUGUAAUAUAACUUCUCUGUUUUUUAGGUUUCAGUUUUUGUUUUAGGGCCAUAUCCAGCAGUUCUCAGGACUUGAGUCUCUGUACUCAGGGAUCAGUACUGUCAGUAGUUGGGGAACCACGCAGGCUACCAGGAUUUGAACCCUGGUUGGCCAGAUGUAAGUCCUUACCUACUGUAAUAUUUCUCAUCUCUGAGUAUGGCUGAUAUAAGAACAAUUAAACAAGGGCUUGACUAGGACACAGGAGUGGUGUUGUGGAUAAAACGUUGAGAAACAUCAACAUUUAAGGGACAGGCAGGUCGUAAGUGAGAAGUAGUUACAGAACAAUGCUGUGAGGGAAGAUUUCAAGAGAGCAGAGUAUCUUACACGAUGUUACUUAACCUGAAACCUAUAUAAUAUAAACUAUUGUUACUUCAGUUUUAAAAAAUAAAGUGAUCAUUAAAAAAAGGAGAGAGAAGAAGGGAGAAUGGUGUCAAGUACAUCAGAGGUCAGGAGAGAGGAAUACUGAAAAGUUACCAGUGGCAUUGACAAGAAAAUAGUCUUAAUAAAAGCAGAUUCAGGGCAAUUAUGACAGCAAAGCUAGAUUCCAGAGAAGUAAAGCAAAAGAAAGCUGAGCAAGUUCAGGCAAUGUGCAAAAGUCCCUCUCUGAAGAUAUACAGGAUUGUAUAUACAUAGGAAAGGACAAGAGAAAGAGACAGUGAUAAUAGUAAAACUGGGGGACAAGAGAAAGAGACAGUGAUAAUAGUAAAACUGGGAUGCAAGGUCAAGAUAGAAUUUGUUUUCUUUUUUAUCAUGGCUCUGUGUAGAAAUAGUAGUUUCUGUUCAGGAUGAUAAAGUUCUGGAAUAAGAAAGUAGUUGCACAACAUUUUGAACAAAAUACAUUGUACAAUUAAAAUAGCUAAAAAUAAUAUAAAAGUUAAAGAGGACCAGAGCGAUGAUACAGUAGGUAAUGUGUUUGCCUUGUACACGGUGAACAUUUUGAUCCCUGGCACCCCAUAGCAACAUCCUUCCACCCCCUGAGCCCACCAGCAGUGAUUCCUCAGCACAGAGCCAGGAAUAAGCCAUGAGCACAGCCAGGUGGUGCAAAAGCUCCAAAAUUAAAAAUUGGAAGAAGAAUAAGUAGGGGAAAUUGUUCCAGUGACUGCAUUGCUUUCCUAAUAAAAAAUAUUUAAAUUAUAAUUGCUGUAUUUGCAAAUUAUGUAAGAUAAAAAUAUUUUCUUUCUAUUAAGAUUCACUCUUUUUGCUUCUUUCUACAACAUAUUUACAUCUCAGCAUCAGAACAGAAGAUGCUUGGUUAAUAGAGAGAUGCACAAGAAUGACUGCAGAUUAUCUCAGGUGCUAGAAAAUAACAAUGCAAGAAACUUAUGUUUCUGCAUUGUUAUUUCAUUAUGUUUGGUGAGGGUGGUUUUGUGAUAAGACCCUGCAGUGUUUAGGGGCUAUUCCUGGCACUGUGCUCAGGGAAACACAUGAGGUGUGGAUGCCUUGAACCAGGGUCAUGAUCAGUGCAACUGCAUUAAAGGCAAAUGCUUUACCUCCUCCUUUAUCUCUCCAGCCCCAAGUUUUAUCCUUCUUAUCUCUGAGUUUCUUUACCUUUCUGUUGCCACUUAGUUAACUGUCUUGUCAAAUCCUUUGUGAACUUUUUUCAAAGCCCUCACAAAAAAAAUGGACUUUCCUUUUUAUGUGCAACUAUACUGCAGUUAUUUAAUCAUUAUUUCUAAGGUACAUCUAUGGCACUUAAAUUCAAAUUUUCAAUCAACAAACAUUUUAAAGUGCCUACUCUGAACCAAGCAUAGAAUGAAUAUGUUAUUGGACAAAACAAAUAGCCCUAUUCUUGUGUACCACAGAUUAGAAGCCAAGGAAAGAUACUGUAAACAUAACACAAAUAUCAAUGGUCAGAAAUGCUGUAUUAAAAGGAUGGGAGGGUAAGGGUGCAGAAUGUAAGAAAGGAUGGGUCUGGCAUAGGAUUAAAUAGAAUGAUCCUGGUUAUCAUCCUUAAAGGAUGAUAUAGAAGUAAAGACUUGUCUACUGUCUCCAAAAAUGAUCUUAGAGUCAGUACCAUGUACUUUAUUCAACAGUGUUGGAAUUCUAAGUUAUUGGAUGGGUCAAAUGAAAUGGGUCUGUAUUCUUAAGAGAAAUUGAUUCCAUGUAUGUGGUUGUACAUAAACACUGAUUUCUUUCACUUUAUCCAUUCAUUGCCAUUUUAUGUUUAAGUUAUAUACACAUUAAAAUAUAUGCGUACUUCUUUAUUCAAGGGAUUGAAAGUGACUGCAAAUAUGUACAAUAAAAUUUUGUAUUCUUUAUUAAAGCUACUGUUUAAAUAGU